AUUCAUUUUCUUUGUCUUCUUCUUCGUUGUUUACUUCAAUCUCUCUGUUCAUCCUCCAUCUUCUACUUCAGUUUGGUUUUUUUUUUUCAUCUUAUUCAUCCCAAUCGAAGAAACCACAUAAGGAUGGGAUCUCGUCUUUCCCAAACUCCUCCAUUUUGCACUCUGUAUAUCAAUCAUCAUCGUCUCCACCAAACCCUAAACCACGAUCUCUCCUUGAACGACGAUUACGUCUCAUAAUCAUCUCCGCAAGACCUCGCAAACCCCUCAAUUUCACUCCUUCGUGCGUCUCCUCAGAUCCCAACGCCUCUGAUUCGAUAAAGAGAGACGAAUGCACCAGUAGCCAUGGCUGAACAGGCUGAGACAGCUUUUCUUAAGCAACCCAAGGUCGUCUUAAGCUAGAAGAAAUCUGGGAAAGGAAAGAAACAUGUUAGAGGUGGAAACCGUUUCUGGAAGAACAUUGGUUUGGGUUUCCAGACUCCCCGUGACGCCAUUGAAGGUUUGAUGUAGAUUUACCUCUGUUCGUUUCUCUCCGCUCUUCUAUAUUUCAUUCAUGUGCAUGCACAAUUGUGUUUGUGUGACUAGGUCGUCAAUUAGGUAUUUCAGAUUAGGCGUAAAAUUCUCUACUUUCAGUUUUGAU